rnacentral:rRNA from 1 species
UACGAGGGGGGCAAGCGUUGUUCGGAAUUAUUGGGCGUAAAGGGCGCGUAGGCGGCCACCGCAAGUCGGUUGUGAAAUCUCCGGGCUUAACCCGGAACGGUCAAUCGAUACUGCGGGGCUAGAGUGCAGAAGGGGCAACUGGAAUUCUCGGUGUAGCGGUGAAAUGCGUAGAUAUCGAGAGGAACACCUGCGGCGAAGGCGGGUUGCUGGGCUGACACUGACGCUGAGGCGCGAAAGCUAGGGGAGCGAACGGG